rnacentral:rRNA from 1 species
AUUGAACGCUGGCGGAAUGCUUUACACAUGCAAGUCGAACGGCAGCACGGGGGCAACCCUGGUGGCGAGUGGCGAACGGGUGAGUAAUACAUCGGAACGUGCCCAGUCGUGGGGGAUAACGUAGCGAAAGUUACGCUAAUACCGCAUACGAUCUACGGAUGAAAGCGGGGGACCGUAAGGCAUCGCGCGAUUGGAGCGGCAGAUGUCAGAUUAGGUAGUUGGUGAGGUAAAGGCUCACCAAGCCGACGAUCUGUAGCUGGUCUGAGAGGACGACCAGCCACACUGGGACUGAGACACGGCCCAGACUCCUACGGGAGGCAGCAGUGGGGAAUUUUGGACAAUGGGCGCAAGCCUGAUCCAGCCAUUCCGCGUGCAGGACGAAGGCCUUCGGGUUGUAAACUGCUUUUGUACGGAACGAAAAGGCUCUGGUUAAUACCUGGGGCUCAUGACGGUACCGUAAGAAUAAGCACCGGCUAACUACGUGCCAGCCGCCGCUGUAA